CAACUUCCCUGGUUUGACCAGAAGGACCAAAUUAAAAGGCAAUGUUCUUCUGGACUACACUUUGCUUUCAUUCAGUUACUGUGGCACCUACCUGGCUAGUUACUCCUCUCUUCCAGAAUUUGAACUGGCCCUCUGGAACUGGGAAUCAAGUGUUAUUUUGUGCAAGAAGUCACAACCUGGUGUAGAUAUCAGCCAGAUGACUUUUAACCCCAUGAACUGGCACCAGCUGUGCUUGUCAAGUCCAAGUACAGUUACUGUGUGGACCAUUGAAAGAAGUAACCAGGAUCAUUAUCUCAAAUCCAAGUUGGUAAAACUACCUAUGGAAGAUGGGACAUUUUUUAAUGAAACAGAUGUAAUUUUCCCCCAGUCAUUGCCCAAGGAUCUUAUCCAUGGACCUGUGCUCCCACUGUCAGCCAUGGCCGGGCUAGUAGGCGAAGAAGCAGAAACUUUCGGGGUAAUCACCCGUCGCCUCUCCCAGUUUGCUUACAGUUCUCAUAGUCAUCCUAUGAGACAUGCAGGAUAGACAGGAUCAUCUUGGUUUAGCCCUGGACACCACAGAGAGGAAGGCUCUGGAGAUUUGAGUUUGGACCUGGGCGGAUGAUGGCGCUGACAGCAGAAACAGGGAGCCCAGAUGUGAUACCCGUUUUGGACACACUGAAUUUGUUGGGAAGGCCUGGUGGGAACUGGCCAAGCGGACCUAGCACUGGGGAGAAGGCAGGGCUGGAGACGCAGAGGUCAGAGUCAUUCCCACGGACAGGCUGAUGAGAGGGCUGGGGAGGGGACCUGUUUCGACGGAGAGGAGAGAAAGGGCAUCAGGGAAGAGAGCCGGAGAGGAAACUGACUGCCAAGAGCUGGGAGGAAGAAGACGAGCCUGAGGAGGAGCAGUCACAGAAGCAGGAGCAGGUCUGGAGAGAAGAAAAAGGCCAUGGAAAAUACGGCCUUGAAGAAAGUUUCAAAGAGAAUUUGUCAACUCUCAUUCAUUCGUCCAGCGUAUUUUUCAGGCUCCUCCUAUGCAGCAGGCACUGUUUUAGGCACUGUGGUCACGUGGUGACCAGCCAGGCAUAAUCCCUACGCCUUGGAGCUUCACUCUAUCAGGGAGACAGAGCAACACUACCACCACCACCAAGAGUAAAAAGAUCCAUUAAAUCAUUGCAAAAUGCGAUGGUUAUAACCUGAUAACUGGGGAGGGCAGGAGGUGGAGGUGAGGAUGAGGUUAAUAUAUGGUCAAUGGGGAGAUGACACCUAUGCUACAGGCAGGGUAAAGAACGUUCAGGCAGAGGGAACUGCAUGUGCAAGAGCCCUGGGGGAAGAAAAGAACUCUUAUGUUUGAGAAGCUGAAAAAAGACCCAUGUGGCUGCA